AGAGACAGCAGUAGCCGCGGUAAUACGAAGGGGGCUAGCGUUGCUCGGAAUGACUGGGCGUAAAGGGCGCGUAGGCGGAUGGCACAGUCAGAUGUGAAAUUCCCGGGCUUAACCUGGGGGCUGCAUUUGAUACGUGUUGUCUAGAGUGAGGAAGAGGGUCGUGGAAUUCCCAGUGUAGAGGUGAAAUUCGUAGAUAUUGGGAAGAACACCGGUGGCGAAGGCGGCGACCUGGUCCUUUACUGACGCUGAGGCGCGAAAGCGUGGGGAGCAAACAGGAUUAGAUACCCCCGUAGUCCCUGUCUCUUAUAC
rnacentral:rRNA from 1 species